rnacentral:rRNA from 1 species
CCCUACGGGGUGCAGCAGGCGCGAAAACUUCACAAUGCCCGCAAGGGUGAUGAGGGUAUCCGAAGUGCUUCCUUAGCCGGAAGCUUUUGUUAAGUCUAAAUAGCUAAGCGAAUAAGGGGAGGGCAAGGCUGGUGCCAGCCGCCGCGGUAAAACCAGCUCCCCGAGUGGUCGGGAUUUUUAUUGGGCCUAAAGCGUCCGUAGCCGGGCGUGCAAGUCAUUGGUUAAAUAUCGGGUCUUAAGCCCGAACCUGCUAGUGAUACUACACGCCUUGGGACCGGAAGAGGCAAAUGGUACGUUGAGGGUAGGGGUGAAAUCCUGUAAUCCCCAACGGACCACCGGUGGCGAAGGCGAUUUGCUGGGACGGAUCCGACGGUGAGGGACGAAACCCAGGGGAGCGAGCGGGAUUAGGUACCCCGGUAGUCCUGGGCGUAAACGAUGCGAACUAGGUGUUGGCGGAGCCACGAGCUCUGUCGGUGCCGAAGCGAAGGCGUUAAGUUCGCCGCCAGGGGAGUACGGCCGCAAGGCUGAAACUUAAAGGAAUUGGCGGGGGAGCAC